rnacentral:rRNA from 1 species
GGUUAAGCGACUAAGCGUACACGGUGGAUGCCCUGGCAGUCAGAGGCGAUGAAGGACGUGCUAAUCUGCGAUAAGCGUCGGUAAGGUGAUAUGAACCGUUAUAACCGGCGAUUUCCGAAUGGGGAAACCCAGUGUGAUUCGUCACACUAUCAUUAACUGAAUCCAUAGGUUAAUGAGGCGAACCGGGGAACUGAAACAUCUAAGUACCCCGAGGAAAAGAAAUCAACCGAGAUUCCCCCAGUAGCGGCGAGCGAACGGGGAGCAGCCCAGAGCCUGAAUCAGUGUGUGUGUUAGUGGAAGCGUCUGGAAAGGCGUGCGAUACAGGGUGACAGCCCCGUACACAAAAAUGCACAUACUGUGAGCUCGAUGAGUAGGGCGGGACACGUGGUAUCCUGUCUGAAUAUGGGGGGACCAUCCUCCAAGGCUAAAUACUCCUGACUGACCGAUAGUGAACCAGUACCGUGAGGGAAAGGCGAAAAGAACCCCGGCGAGGGGAGUGAAAAAGAACCUGAAACCGUGUACGUACAAGCAGUGGGAGCACGCUUAGGCGUGUGACUGCGUACCUUUGUAUAAUGGGUCAGCGACUUAUAUUCUGUAGCAAGGUUAACCGAAUAGGGGAGCCGAAGGGAAACCGAGUCUUAACUGGGCGUUAAGUUGCAGGGUAUAGACCCGAAACCCGGUGAUCUCAGCCAUGGGCAGGUUGAAGGUUGGGUAACACUAACUGGAGGACCGAACCGACUAAUGUUGAAAAAUUAGCGGAUGACUUGUGGCUGGGGGUGAAAGGCCAAUCAAACCGGGAGAUAGCUGGUUCUCCCCGAAAGCUAUUUAGGUAGCGCCUCGUGAAUUCAUCUCCGGGGGUAGAGCACUGUUUCGGCAAGGGGGUCAUCCCGACUUACCAACCCGAUGCAAACUGCGAAUACCGGAGAAUGUUAUCACGGGAGACACACGGCGGGUGCUAACGUCCGUCGUGAAGAGGGAAACAACCCAGACCGCCAGCUAAGGUCCCAAAGUCAUGGUUAAGUGGGAAACGAUGUGGGAAGGCCCAGACAGCCAGGAUGUUGGCUUAGAAGCAGCCAUCAUUUAAAGAAAGCGUAAUAGCUCACUGGUCGAGUCGGCCUGCGCGGAAGAUGUAACGGGGCUAAACCAUGCACCGAAGCUGCGGCAGCGACGCUUAUGCGUUGUUGGGUAGGGGAGCGUUCUGUAAGCCUGUGAAGGUGUACUGUGAGGUAUGCUGGAGGUAUCAGAAGUGCGAAUGCUGACAUAAGUAACGAUAAAGCGGGUGAAAAGCCCGCUCGCCGGAAGACCAAGGGUUCCUGUCCAACGUUAAUCGGGGCAGGGUGAGUCGACCCCUAAGGCGAGGCCGAAAGGCGUAGUCGAUGGGAAACAGGUUAAUAUUCCUGUACUUGGUGUUACUGCGAAGGGGGGACGGAGAAGGCUAUGUUGGCCGGGCGACGGUUGUCCCGGUUUAAGCGUGUAGGCUGGUUUUCCAGGCAAAUCCGGAAAAUCAAGGCCGAGGCGUGAUGACGAGGCACUACGGUGCUGAAGCAACAAAUGCCCUGCUUCCAGGAAAAGCCUCUAAGCAUCAGGUAACAUCAAAUCGUACCCCAAACCGACACAGGUGGUCAGGUAGAGAAUACCAAGGCGCUUGAGAGAACUCGGGUGAAGGAACUAGGCAAAAUGGUGCCGUAACUUCGGGAGAAGGCACGCUGAUACGUAGGUGAAGCGACUUGCUCGUGGAGCUGAAAUCAGUCGAAGAUACCAGCUGGCUGCAACUGUUUAUUAAAAACACAGCACUGUGCAAACACGAAAGUGGACGUAUACGGUGUGACGCCUGCCCGGUGCCGGAAGGUUAAUUGAUGGGGUUAGCGCAAGCGAAGCUCUUGAUCGAAGCCCCGGUAAACGGCGGCCGUAACUAUAACGGUCCUAAGGUAGCGAAAUUCCUUGUCGGGUAAGUUCCGACCUGCACGAAUGGCGUAAUGAUGGCCAGGCUGUCUCCACCCGAGACUCAGUGAAAUUGAACUCGCUGUGAAGAUGCAGUGUACCCGCGGCAAGACGGAAAGACCCCGUGAACCUUUACUAUAGCUUGACACUGAACAUUGAGCCUUGAUGUGUAGGAUAGGUGGGAGGCUUUGAAGUGUGGACGCCAGUCUGCAUGGAGCCGACCUUGAAAUACCACCCUUUAAUGUUUGAUGUUCUAACGUGGACCCGUAAUCCGGGUUGCGGACAGUGUCUGGUGGGUAGUUUGACUGGGGCGGUCUCCUCCUAAAGAGUAACGGAGGAGCACGAAGGUUGGCUAAUCCUGGUCGGACAUCAGGAGGUUAGUGUAAUGGCAUAAGCCAGCUUGACUGCGAGCGUGACGGCGCGAGCAGGUGCGAAAGCAGGUCAUAGUGAUCCGGUGGUUCUGAAUGGAAGGGCCAUCGCUCAACGGAUAAAAGGUACUCCGGGGAUAACAGGCUGAUACCGCCCAAGAGUUCAUAUCGACGGCGGUGUUUGGCACCUCGAUGUCGGCUCAUCACAUCCUGGGGCUGAAGUAGGUCCCAAGGGUAUGGCUGUUCGCCAUUUAAAGUGGUACGCGAGCUGGGUUUAGAACGUCGUGAGACAGUUCGGUCCCUAUCUGCCGUGGGCGCUGGAGAACUGAGGGGGGCUGCUCCUAGUACGAGAGGACCGGAGUGGACGCAUCACUGGUGUUCGGGUUGUCAUGCCAAUGGCACUGCCCGGUAGCUAAAUGCGGAAGAGAUAAGUGCUGAAAGCAUCUAAGCACGAAACUUGCCCCGAGAUGAGUUCUCCCUGACCCUUUAAGGGUCCUGAAGGAACGUUGAAGACGACGACGUUGAUAGGCCGGGUGUGUAAGCGCAGCGAUGCGUUGAGCUAACCGGUACUAAUGAACCGUGAGGCUUAACCUU